rnacentral:lncRNA from 1 species
CCCUUUCCCCGAACCCACGCUGGGGCCUGGAGGUGCCCAGCAUGACAGCCUCUACGGGAAGUGGGGUCUUUGGGGAAAUCUCUGCCUCUGCCCGGCUCCGCUGACUUCAGCUGCUCCCGCAUGUCCCACCUGGGUGCCUCCUUGGCGCAGAGACCUCACAUCAAAGCCACCAAGGGGAGGCUAAGGGAUUCGUAGAGAUGGGUGCCGGCAGCAGAACAGCCUUCGCACACCUGCCCGGAUCCCACCGUCUGCCCAGCGUGCCCAGGACCCCAGCUCCUCAGAGAUAAGAGCCCUCCUUGGCCAGGUUUCUCACCUUGGAUGGUGCCACUGCAGGAGAGAGAGGCUGCUAGCAGGAUGGCGGCCCCCAGCAGCCACGCCGCGCUGGGGCUCCGCAUCCUCCUGGAAGCCCCGACGCCGGGCGCGCGGGGAAUCCGCCGCCGCCGAUUCGAAACUCAGAGCUCCACUGGACGCACCGAGAGAAAGUCAGCCUCUCACCUGCCCCGAAUCGGAGCCUCUGCUGCGCGCCUCCCCAGGGCGGGUUAGGUUUCAGGGAAACCGAAGGAGCAGCGUACUCACCUGCGGGAGGCCACGCCCCGGGACCGGAACGCGCGCCCUGGUCCCGCCCCCGGCCCCCUUCCCUGCGCAGCUGCGCCCUCCGCUUCCCGGACUCGCGCCAGGUCCCUUAGACUGCGGGAGCCGCCUGCGGGCGGGGUUGAGCGCAUGAGGUGUCUGCUUUGGAAUGCAAAUAGCAGGAGCGCUGGGACCACGGGUUAAUCCCUGCCUAGGCUAUACCGCGAACUACCUUUAAUCUUUACUUACUCCUAGAGAAGCGGGUCGUCGGUCUCCCUUGCCUUUCCUGACUGUGGGAAAGCCACGAUUCGUACUCACUGCAAUUGUGGUUGGUAACUGAUACAGACAGGGCUUCCCGGUGCGGUGGACCCUGCAGGAGGAGGGAUGCGUUUUUUAUUGUAGAGGCAGGUGGGCAACUGCGGACAUCACGAAAGCGGUGGGGAGCACAAGAGGCGGGGCGGGAAAGAAGACAUGGAAUGGCUACUUUCAGCGCCAAGUGCCAAAGCUUUAGAGAAUUAUCUUGCUUAAUCCCCAUAACAACCAGCGCAAUAAGUAUGAUUAUUCUUCCCAUUUUACAGACGAGGAAAGUGAGCUUAGAAAGACCAGAUAAAUUGGCCAGAGUUACACGACUUAUAAACACAGUGUAUAAAUGUUUAUCACAUUUCAACUCCAGUAUAAGACUAUCACUGUCUUCUA